rnacentral:rRNA from 1 species
GAGUACGGCCGCAAGGUUAAAACUCAAAUGAAUUGACGGGGGCCCGCACAAGCGGUGGAGCAUGUGGUUUAAUUCGACGCAACGCGAAGAACCUUACCUACACUUGACAUCCUCGGAACUUUCUAGAGAUAGAUUGGUGCCUUCGGGAACCGAGUGACAGGUGCUGCAUGGCUGUCGUCAGCUCGUGUCGUGAGAUGUUGGGUUAAGUCCCGUAACGAGCGCAACCCUUAUCCUUAUUUGCCAGCGGUUCGGCCGGGAACUUUAAGGAGACUGCCGAUGACAAAUCGGAGGWAGGUGGGGACGACGUCAAGUCAUCAUGGCCCUUACGUGUAGGGCUACACACGUGCUACAAUGGCUGGUACAAACGGUCGCAAACCCGCGAGGGGGAGCCAAUCCGAGAAAGCCAGUCGUAGUCCGGAUUGGGGUCUGCAACUCGACCCCAUGAAGUCGGAAUCGCUAGUAAUCGUGAAUCAGAAUGUCACGGUGAAUACGUUCCCGGGCCUUGUACACACCGCCCGUCACACCAUGGGAGUGGGUUGCACCAGAAGUGGCUAGUCUAACUUCGGAGGACGGUCACCACGGUGUGRUUCAUGACUGGGGUGAAGUCGUAACAAGGUAACCAAGGGCGAA